UACCAAAAAAUUAUUCAACUC
rnacentral:piRNA from 1 species